rnacentral:tRNA from 1 species
GCGUUGGUGUAGUCCGGCCAAUCAUGCGGUCCAGGCCGAGAGCUUUGCUCGAGGGCUGGAUCAGGCCUUUCGAGCCGAUGACCUGGGUUCAAAUCCCAGACGGAGCA